rnacentral:misc_RNA from 1 species
UGGGUUGGCGGGCUCCGUGCUACGGCAUCGAACCGUCCGCGCGCACUCCGCGUCAAUGAUGCAUCAAGAGCUUUCUUGUGCUUCGAAAGGAUUCCUGUGUGUGCUACCUAUUGUAAUGGUAUGGCGUCUCUCGUUGAUCCUUUCCUUCCCUGACACAUGCGGUCAGUGGGAGGACAUCGUAGCAGUGCCCGUGCCCCCCGCGUUGUGUGCGCCUGGUGACGUUCACCUUGCGACGGUUCACGGGUUGCUGCUUGAUGUCUCGGAUACGGUAUAUUCGGUGGGCUUGGGUUCGCACCCUCUAUGCCCAAAAUUCCAAGCGUUUUGUCGCUAGACAUGCACGAUUGUCAUGCUCCUUGCGGGAUCUCCCGCAAGGUGCCUGGCGUCGGCAAAGGAAUGCUACCUGGUU